rnacentral:lncRNA from 1 species
CGCGUUCAGCUAGGUCACAUGAGACAUGCACCUUCAGCCACAACUCUGCCGCGUUGAAAAUCGCCUCCAGCGACGGCGGAGGUCCAACCAUGCUCAAACCUAUACCAAUUUGUUCAUCUUCAUAUCCUCUUUCACAAUCUCACAUAGAUUUCCCUAAAUUCAAAAGCCUACAUUAUGAAUUGUGCCAAACAAGACUUAAACCCUUAGAUUUCAAAACAAAAUUAAAUAUCACCGGGGAGGAAUCAAAGCCUAAAACGUUAGGGCUUUGAUUCCUCACACCUAAUUCUACAUGGUGGUAAGAGUUUCAAUGUGUAUCAAGGAAGAACAUGGAUAUUACCUCCAAAGCUUGUUGGAAUUGAAGGAGGUGAAACUGAAGAGAGAGAGAUCCAGAGGAGAUCGUGUAAUCCUUCAAACCUCUAUUCUUUGUUUGUCACAAAUUAUUCCUCUUCUCCUUCUCAAUUCUUGCUAUGUGUUUGUUAUUUAUUUGCCUUCUGUGUGUGUGAGAAUGUGAGAAUAUUGAUUGAGAGUGUAUAGAGAAUUGAGAGAAGGUGAGAGCUUGUGAUGUUGAUUUGUGAAACGUUAUGAUUGGUAGAGUGUGAAGUUGAAGAUCCCCGCAACAAAAAGAAAACCUUGAUUGAAGAGUGAUUGGAGAUUUAUAAGGUUUGAGUCUCAACUAACUAGGGCAGAGAUCAGGCAACGAUUGUUAGGUGUUAGGGCAGGGUUAACUCUGUUAAUUGAAUCCAAAGAGAAAGACAGUUAAAGAAUAUAACUAUGUUAAGUCUCUGUUAAAUAUUAGUUUAAAGUUUGUUAUUUUCUAUUAGCGUAAACUAUGAAUUAGCUAAUGGCUCAAAUUUUAAUUGAUGAAGUCUUGUGUUCCGUUAGUUAGGGCUUUAGAUUGUGGAAAGAAGUUAGUUAUAGACAAAAAAAUGGUUAGGAAGUUGAUGUUAGAAGUAUAGUAAGUUAGUUAUGAAAUGAAGCUGACAGUUAGGAGGUUAUGGAAAUUGGUUAUGUUAGUUUGUUGCUAAUUUGAAAGUUGAAAGGAGUUAACUAUGGUUGGUGAGUGUUAGUCUUUAUUAUAGUAGAAACUUGUUAAAAGUAUUAUGAGGUUAUAGUUAGAAUUUGAAUAGUUAGUUUCUAAUGGACUUGGUUAAUUGAAAAAUAAGAAUUAAAUUGACUUGAUGAAUCAAAUAGCCAUGCUAAUGAACUGUUAAUUAUUUUGAUAGAAUUAUAACACU